AUUUUGUCAGCGCAAAUGAUUUAUAUUCAAUUUGCUUGAAAUGUUAACCUAACUUCUAUUUCAUUGGUGUUGUGAAUCUUUGGAAACUUUGAACCAUUAGGAGCUUCAAGAGUACUUGAUUCAAACUGAAGACAGUGGGCUACUAAGAAAAAGAAUUGCUAAUUUUGUAAUCAGGUUGUUGAAGUACCAAAUGUCAGCUGGGAUGAUAUUGGUGGGCUGGAAAAUGUCAAGAGGAAACUGCAAGAGAUUAGAACAGUGGAU